rnacentral:rRNA from 1 species
UACGGAGGGUGCAAGCGUUGUCCGGAUUUAUUGGGUUUAAAGGGUGCGUAGGCGGCUUGUCGCGUCGUCCGUGAAAACCUGGGGCUCAACUCCAGGCUUGCGGUCGAUACGGGCAGGCUAGAGUUCGGUAGGGGAGACUGGAAUUCCUGGUGUAGCGGUGAAAUGCGCAGAUAUCAGGAGGAACACCAAUGGCGAAGGCAGCACUCUGGGACGUGACUGACGCUGAGACGCGAAAAGCGUGGGGAGCAAACAGG